rnacentral:rRNA from 1 species
GUGCUAACACAUGCAGUCGAACGAGAAAGGGGAGCAUCCCUGAGUAAAGUGGCGCACGGGUGAGUAACACGUGACUAACCUACCCUUGAGCGGGGGAUAACCUAGGGAAACCUGGGCUAAUACCGCAUAAUACCUAUGGGUCAAAGCAGCAAUGCACUUAAGGAGGGGGUCGCGGCAGAUUAGUUAGUUGGUGAGGUAAUGGCUCACCAAGACGAUGAUCUGUAUCCGGCCUGAGAGGGCGCACGGACACACUGGAACUGAAACACGGUCCAGACUCCUACGGGAGGCAGCAGUGGGGAAUUUUGCGCAAUGGGGGAAACCCUGACGCAGCAACGCCGCGUGGAGGAUGAAAUAUCUUGGUAUGUAAACUCCUUUCGAUCGGGACGAUAAUGACGGUACCGAUAGAAGAAGCCCCGGCUAACUUCGUGCCAGCAGCCGCGGUAAUACGAGGGGGGCAAGCGUUGUUCGGAAUUAUUGGGCGUAAAGGGUGCGUAGGCGGUUUGACAAGUCUUGUGUGAAAUCUCUGGGCUCA